rnacentral:rRNA from 1 species
ACUGCCUGCCCAGUGACACCUGUUCAACGGCCGCGGUAUUAUGACCGUGCAAAGGUAGCGUAAUCACUUGUCUUUUAAAUAAAGACCGGUAUGAAUGGCAAAACGAAAACUCAACUGUCUCCUCAGACAAGUCAGUGAAAUUGAUUUCCCCGUGAAGAAGCAGGGAUAAUAAUAUAAGACGAGAAGACCCUAUGGAGCUUUAAACCUAAAGCUACCCACACCCUUAAAACUUUAAAAAAUGGAAUUAGCUACAGGUUUUGGGUUGGGGCGACCGCGGAGUAAAAAUUAACCUCCGAGAAAAAAUUAAGAAGAACACUUCAAAAAUAAUAAUGUUACACAUUUGACCCAACAAUUGAUCAACGAACCAAGUUACCCUAGGGAUAACAGCGCAAUCCUCUCAGAGAGUCCUUAUCGACGAGAGGGUUUACGACCUCGAUGUUGGAUCAGGACCCCCAAAUAGUGCAAAAGCUAUUAAAGG